rnacentral:snRNA from 1 species
GGAUGUGAGGGCGAUCUGGCUGUGACAUCUGUCACCCUCCCCCGCCCACCCCCUGAUCACCAGGGUUGAUUCAGCUGAUCUGGCUGGCUAGGUGGGUGUCCUCUUCCUCCCUCACUGUGCCAUGUGUCCCUCCUGAAGCUGCACACUUGGUCAAAGAGGACGACCUUUCCAGAUAGAGGAGGACCGUUCUUUGGUCUAGGGCAUGUAAGGAGCUGCACUCCCCUGCUAGAACCUCCAAACAAACUCUCAAAGUGCAGAAGAGAUCAGGGAACUACAGCACAGAGAAAAAUUCACAUGACAGCCACUG